CGUGUAGCGGCAGAGCCGAGGGGACGGGGGUGGCGCUGCCCUCCGCCCCGCUGGGCUGCAGCAGGCAGGCACCGUGAGCCAGCCCCUGCCAUGCAUCUGAGCAGCAGCAGCAGCAGCAGCAGCAGCAGCAUCCAGCUCCCUCCCGCGCCCUCCUCCUCCGUCUCCCGCGGCCGCCGCUGCGCCGGGCUCCUCGCUGCUGCCUCUGCAUGGAGAAGUUGCAGCCUUUGCGAAGCCCCGGCUGAGCCCUGAGACGCUGCCGCCGCCGCCGCCUCGGAGGAGGGGAGGGCGGGGAGGGGGCGCGGGCGAGCCGCUCUCCCAAGCAUGAACUGAUCGCCUGCCCCAGCGCUGGCUGGUGGCGGCGCGGAGCUGCGAGCCCCCAUGCCUCUGGGGCUGGCCCGCCCCGAGCUGCCGCCGCGGGAGCCUCGCGCUUGGCACGGGCGGAGCGAAGGCAGCGGCCCCCGUUGCUGCUGCUGCUGCUGCAGAGGCGGCCGCCGCCGCUAGCCGCCGCGGAGCCGCUCCUCAUGCCCGGCGCUCGCCCGCCGUCUGACCGGAGAGGGCCGGGCCCGACGGGGGGCACCGGAGUGCGAGCCAUGGGGUAUUGCAGCGGCCGGUGCACGCUCCUCUUCCUCUGUGGCAUGCAACUGUUUUAAAAAUGAUGACUUUCGGAAAGACUUCCCUCCCUGACUCCAAGACAAGGUGGCGGAGAAAGGAGAAGCAAGGAAGAAGGGGCAGGCAAAGUCCCUGCUAUGGAGGCAAGAAUGAGAUACCCUGAGACAGGGGAAAGGAGAAUUGGCUGUGGCAUGGAAGACCAUAAUUUGGGGAAAGUGUGUGUGGGGGGGGGGGCAGGAAGGAAUGUGUAAAUGGCAAGAGUAAAAUGGAGAGUAUGCAGCAACCAUGCCUUAGCAGAAGGGAUACAUCGAGCUCUAAACAUGGAAGUGAAGAAGAGAAUGGGGAGGAGGAGUGUGGAAGAUACAGAGCACUUGGCAUGAUUGAGAAGUAUCGGAGUCUGACCCACUGCACUCUAAGGAAGAAAUUCAGGACAUAUUGUUCCCAGAGGAUUUCUUUGAUACUGUGGUCAAAAGAGUCAUAAAAAAUUUAGAGCUUCAGCAGGAACAGAAG
rnacentral:lncRNA from 1 species